UUUAUGGAGAGUUUGAUCCUGGCUCAGGAUGAACGCUGGCGGCGUGCCUAAUACAUGCAAGUCGAGCGAACGGACGAGAAGCUUGCUUCUCUGAUGUUAGCGGCGGACGGGUGAGUAACACGUGGAUAACCUACCUAUAAGACUGGGAUAACUUCGGGAAACCGGAGCUAAUACCGGAUAAUAUUUUAAACCGCAUGGUUCAAAAGUGAAAGACGGUCUUGCUGUCACUUAUAGAUGGAUCCGCGCUGCAUUAGCUAGUUGGUAAGGUAACGGCUUACCAAGGCAACGAUGCAUAGCCGACCUGAGAGGGUGAUCGGCCACACUGGAACUGAGACACGGUCCAGACUCCUACGGGAGGCAGCAGUAGGGAAUCUUCCGCAAUGGGCGA
rnacentral:rRNA from 1 species